UGUUGAGCUUCGUGCAAAGUCUACGACCGGCAGCAGAGCAAAGUCACCGAAAAACCCACGUAAAGUUGAACUAAAGUUCAACAAACAGACGAGUUUCGUGGCGUUAUGGGUUUGUUUACGCCGCAAAGACACAAGCUUUCAGCUAACCUUGUGUUUCGAGAAGGAGAGGUUGUUCGCGAGCUAGCACGCUAAGCGCUGCGUGGCUAAUAAGUAGCCAGCACUACCCUGAGAAUAUCUGGGAGCUAAUUUGGGCCAGCUAAGUAUAAAUUAAACUCUCGGGAAAGUAAGUGCCUCGCCCUUAUUAUCACACCGACUCAACUCUGGAGGGGAAAAGAAAAAAGCUCCUAGUUGGCUUUGAUUAGCUUUUAGCUGGCUUAGCUAACGACAGGGAUGACUGAAAAGUCCACAGAGGGAAACAACGGGAGUUAUCCACCUGAUCCCGCUUGAGACCAUCGCUACAGUCGCCGCUUCUUACCGCUCCAAGAAGACUCGGAUUUGCCUGAAUCAGCUGCAUCCGAAGGGAAAUGUAGUCUGUCCUGCAUGGGUUCACCACAACAGGUCUCAGGCUGAAAAACAUCUCAACGACGAGAGCAAAUAGACUAUUUACAAACUACCACAGCCCCACGGCUUUAACUCCUCAGUAUGAUGAGCCAAAAGCGACUCCAUUGUUUACGGCCCAUUAAGUGGCCACGGCGCAGACUCGGACGGAUCCGUGCC